UUCCGGAGGAGGGAGCCUUGAAGAAACGGCUACCACAUCUACGGAAGGCAGACAGGCGCGUAAAUUACCCAAUCCUGAUUCAGGGAGGUAGUGACAAGAAAUAACAACUCGGGGCCUCACGGCUUACGAGAUUGCAAUGAGAACAAUUUUAAAUCUCUUAGCGAGGAACAAUUUGGGAGGGGCAAGUCUUGGUGCCAGCAGCCGCGGUAAUUCCAGCUCCAAUAGCGUAUAUUAAAGUUGUUGCAGUUAAAAAGCUCGUAGUUGAAUUUCUGAUUAUGGAUGUAGCGGUUUCCGUUACAUUUGUAGUCAUCCACAUGAGAACCUUUUCUCGGCCUUCACUGGUCGGUUGGGGGAUCAUGUACUUUACUUUGAAAAAAUCAGAGUGUUUCAGGCAGGCGUUUGCAUGAAUACACAAGCAUGGAAUAAUGGAAUAGGACUAGGGUCCAUUUUAUUGGUUAUUGGACCAUAGUAAUGAUUAAUAGGGACAGUUGGGGGC
rnacentral:rRNA from 1 species